UGGAAGGAAUGAACAGAUAUAUCACGUGGC
rnacentral:piRNA from 2 species